GGAAUGAGCCUGGUUUGGACCAAACUUAAUGCACACGAACAUUGAAGAUGGUGUUUGAUGAUUGCGACAGUGGUUCCAUACUUAGAGCUUGCAGUUGAUGAGGGAAAUGCAUGAAAGCUUGCGACAGUUUCUUCUGGGGUCAUAUCUGUCUUUGUAGUUUGUGCAAAUUGGCUUUUCUAGCUGAAGCAGAUAUGCAUCAUGAUGUUCCUCGUUUUGAUACCA
rnacentral:lncRNA from 1 species